rnacentral:rRNA from 1 species
AGCGAACGCUGGCGGCAGGCCUAACACAUGCAAGUCGAACGAAGCCUUCGGGCUUAGUGGCGGACGGGUGAGUAACACGUGGGAACGUACCUUUUGGUUCGGAACAACUCAGGGAAACUUGAGCUAAUACCGGAUGAGCCCUUAGGGGGAAAGAUUUAUCGCCGAAAGAGCGGCCCGCGUUAGAUUAGCUAGUUGGUGAGGUAAAGGCUCACCAAGGCUACGAUCUAUAGCUGGUCUGAGAGGAUGAUCAGCCACACUGGGACUGAGACACGGCCCAGACUCCUACGGGAGGCAGCAGUGGGGAAUCUUGCGCAAUGGGCGAAAGCCUGACGCAGCCAUGCCGCGUGAAUGAUGAAGGUCUUAGGAUUGUAAAAUUCUUUUACCAGGGACGAUAAUGACGGUACCUGGAGAAAAAGCCCCGGCUAACUUCGUGCCAGCCGCCGCAGUAA